rnacentral:rRNA from 1 species
GAUGAACGCUGGCGGCGUGCCUAACACAUGCAAGUCGAGCGAUUCUCUUCGGAGAAGAGCGGCGGACGGGUGAGUAACGCGUGGGUAACCUGCCCUGUACACACGGAUAACAUACCGAAAGGUAUGCUAAUACGAGAUAAUAUACUUUUAUCGCAUGGUAGAAGUAUCAAAGUUUUUGCGGAUACAGGAUGGACCCGCGUCUGAUUAGCUAGUUGGUAAGGUAACGGCUUGCCAAGGCGACGAUCAGUAGCCGACCUGAGAGGGUGAUCGGCCACAUUGGAACUGAGACACGGUCCAAACUCCUACGGGAGGCAGCAGUGGGGAAUAUUGCACAAUGGGCGAAAGCCUGAUGCAGCAACGCCGCGUGAGCGAUGAAGGCCUUCGGGUCGUAAAGCUCUGUCCUCAAGGAAGAUAAUGACGGUACUUGAGGAGGAAGCCCCGGCUAACUACGUGCCAGCCGCCGCAGUAA